rnacentral:rRNA from 2 species
UGCAAGUCGAGGGGUAACAGAGGAGCUUGCUUCUGCUGACGACCGGCGCACGGGUGCGCACCGCGUAUGGAACCUACCUUUUACAGAGGGAUAGCCCAGGGAAACUUGGAUUAAUACCUCAUGGUAUCAUUUUUUAGCAUUAUUAAAUGAUUAAAGACUUCGGUCGGUAAAAGAUGGCCAUGCGUCCCAUUAGCUAGAUGGUAAGGUAACGGCUUACCAUGGCUACGAUGGGUAGGGGCCCUGAGAGGGGGAUCCCCCACACUGGUACUGAGACACGGACCAGACUCCUACGGGAGGCAGCAGUGAGGAAUAUUGGACAAUGGAGGAGACUCUGAUCCAGCCAUGCCGCGUGCAGGAAGAAUGCCCUAUGGGUAGUAAACUGCUUUUAUACAGGAAGAAAAAAGAGUACGUGUACUCUACUGACGGUACUGUAAGAAUAAGGACCGGCUAACUCCGUGCCAGCAGCCGCGGUAAUACGGAGGGUCCGAGCGUUAUCCGGAAUUAUUGGGUUUAAAGGGUCCGUAGGCGGGUCAAUAAGUCAGGGGUGAAAGUUUGCAGCUCAACUGUAAAAUUGCCUUUGAUACUGUUGGUCUUGAGUUAUAGUGAAGUUGCCGGAAUAUGUAGUGUAGCGGUGAAAUGCAUAGAUAUUACAUAGAACACCGAUUGCGAAGGCAGGUGACUAACUAUAUACUGACGCUGAUGGACGAAAGCGUGGGGAGCGAACAGGAUUAGAUACCCUGGUAGUCCACGCCGUAAACGAUGGAUACUAGCUGUCCGAGACCUUGAGUCUUGGGCGGCCAAGCGAAAGUGAUAAGUAUCCCACCUGGGGAGUACGUUCGCAAGAAUGAAACUCAAAGGAAUUGACGGGGGCCCGCACAAGCGGUGGAGCAUGUGGUUUAAUUCGAUGAUACGCGAGGAACCUUACC